rnacentral:rRNA from 1 species
UCGAGAAUCUUCGUCAAUGGUCGAAAGACUGAACGAGCGACGCCGCGUGCGGGAUGAAGGCCCUCGGGUUGUAAACCGCUGUCAGUGGGAAUGAAAUGCUAGGGGGAUCACUCCCUAGCUUGACAGACCCGCAGAGGAAGGACGGGCUAAGUUCGUGCCAGCAGCCGCGGUAAUACGAACCGUCCAAACGUUAUUCGGAAUCACUGGGCUUAAAGGGUGCGUAGGCGGCUCGGUAAGUUGGGUGUGAAAUCCCACGGCUCAACCGUGGAAUUGCGCUCAAAACUGUCGAGCUUGAGGGAGAUAGAGGUGAGCGGAACUUCGGGUGGAGCGGUGAAAUGCGUUGAUAUCCGAAGGAACACCGGUGGCGAAAGCGGCUCACUGGGUCUCUUCUGACGCUGAGGCACGAAAGCUAGGGGAGCGAACG